AUUGUUUCUUGGCCUUUUGGCUAAGAUCAAGUGUAGUAUCUGUUCUUAUCAGUAUAAUAUCUGAUACAUCCUCUAUCCAAGGACAAUAUAUUAAAUGGAUAUUUGAGAGUAGGAGGUGGAAUAGAAGCUUGUUCUGUCCACUCCACACAUCAACCUGGUAUUGCAGUACCACCAGGAAUGUUGCAAAAAAU
rnacentral:snRNA from 1 species